rnacentral:rRNA from 1 species
GGACGAACGCUGGCGGCGUGCUUAACACAUGCAAGUUGAACGGGCAGGUAUGGAAGCUUGCUGAAGUAUCUGUUAGUAGCGGACGGGUGAGUAAUGCAUGAGAAGCUGCCAUUGGGAGGGGGACAACAGUUGGAAACGGCUGCUAAUACCCCAUAUGCCGGAAGGUGAAACGGAGUGAUCCGCCCGAUGAGGUGCUCAUGUCCUAUCAGCUUGUUGGUGAGGUAACGGCUCACCAAGGCGACGACGGGUAGCCGGCCUGAGAGGGUGACCGGCCACACUGGAACUGAGAUACGGUCCAGACUCCUACGGGAGGCAGCAGUGGGGAAUAUUGGGCAAUGGGGGCAACCCUGACCCAGCGACGCCGCGUGAGGGAAGACGGCCUUCGGGUUGUAAACCUCUUUUGUACGGGAAGAAGGACGUGACGGUACCGUGCGAAUAAGUCCCGGCUAACUACGUGCCAGCAGCCGCGGUAAUACGUAGGGGACGAGCGUUGUCCGGAAUUACUGGGCGUAAAGGGCGCGCAGGCUGUAGAUCAAGUCAGCUGUGAAAUGUCUGGGCUUAACCCGGGCAUGCGGUUGAAACUGAUGUACUGGAGUGCUGUAGAGGCAAGUGGAAUUCCCAGUGUAGCGGUGAAAUGCGUAGAUAUUGGGAAGAACACCGGUGGCGAAGGCGACUUGCUGGGCAGCAACUGACGCUGAGGCGCGAAAGCCAGGGGAGCAAACGGGAUUAGAUACCCCGGUAGUCCUGGCCGUAAACGAUGAAUGCUAGGUGUGUGUGUAGAGAUACAUGCGUGCCGGAGUUAACGCGAUAAGCAUUCCGCCUGGGGAGUACGGUCGCAAGAUUGAAACUCAAAGGAAUUGACGGGGGCCCGCACAAGCGGUGGAGCACGUGGUUUAAUUCGAUGCAAA